AUUCACGCUGGCGGCGUGCCUAAUACAUGCAAGUCGAGCGAACGGACGAGAAGCUUGCUUCUCUGAUGUUAGCGGCGGACGGGUGAGUAACACGUUGAUAACCUACCUAUAAGACUGGGAUAACUUCGGGAAACCGGAGCUAAUACCGGAUAAUAUUUUGAACCGCAUGGUUCCAAAGUGAAAGACGGUCUUGCUGUCACUUAUAGAUGGAUCCGCGCUGCAUUAGCUAGUUGGUAAGGUAACGGCUUACCAAGGCAACGAUGCAUAGCCGACCUGAGAGGGUGAUCGGCCACACUGGAACUGAGACACGGUCCAGACUCCUACGGGAGGCAGCAGUAGGGAAUCUUCCGCAAUGGGCGAAAGCCUGACGGAGCAACGCCGCGUGAGUGAUGAAGGUCUUCGGAUCGUAAAACUCUGUUAUUAGGGAAGAACAUAUGUGUAAGUAACUGUGCACAUCUUGACGGUACCUAAUCAGAAAGCCACGGCUAACUACGUG
rnacentral:rRNA from 1 species